UACAGAGGUCUCAAGCGUUGUUCGGAUUCAUUGGGCGUAAAGGGUGUGUAGGUGGCGCCGUAAGUCGGGUGUGAAAUUUCGGAGCUUAACUCCGAGACUGCAUUCGAUACUGCGGUGCUUGAGGACUGGAGAGGAGACUGGAAUUCAUGGUGUAGCAGUGAAAUGCGUAGAGAUCAUGAGGAAGGCCAGUGGCGAAGGCGGGUCUCUGGACAGUUCCUGACACUGAGACACGAAGGCCAGGGGAGCAAACGGG
rnacentral:rRNA from 1 species